rnacentral:misc_RNA from 1 species
AAGGAUCAUUAAUAAAUGUUACUUCGGUAACUUAAUUAAUCCCUAACACCUGUGCAUCUUGUCGCUUCGGCGUCAUUUUAUAAACAUCAGUGUAAUGAAUGUAAAGUAUUAUAACAAAUACAACUUUCAACAACGGAUCUCUUGGCUCUCGCAUCGAUGAAGAACGCAGCGAAAUGCGAUAAGUAAUGUGAAUUGCAGAAUUCAGUGAAUCAUCGAAUCUUUGAACGCACAUUGCGCCAUUUUGGUAUUCCGAAAGGCAUGCCUGUUUGAGUGUCAUAUAGACUCUUAUACCUAGAUUUUCUAUGUAUGAGCUUUGGACGCUGCCAUUCUGUGGCUCGUCUUAAAUGUCUAAGUGGAAUGCGUAAUAAGUUUUCGCUCCCUCCACUCUAAUACUCUUUAGUUUAGACCUCAAAUCAGGUAGGACUACCCGCUGAACUUAAGCAUA